rnacentral:rRNA from 1 species
CUACGUGCCAGCAGCCGCGGUAAUACGUAGGUGGCGAGCGUUAUCCGGAAUUAUUGGGCGUAAAGGGUGCGUAGGCGGCCUGUUAAGUAAGUGGUUAAAUUGUUGGGCUCAACCCAAUCCAGCCACUUAAACUGGCAGGCUAGAGUAUUGGAGAGGCAAGUGGAAUUCCAUGUGUAGCGGUAAAAUGCGUAGAUAUAUGGAGGAACACCAGUGGCGAAGGCGGCUUGCUAGCCAAAGACUGACGCUCAUGCACGAAAGCGUGGGGAGCAAAUAGGAUUAGAUACCCUAGUAGUCCACGCCGUAAACGAUGAAUACUAAGUAUUGGGGAAACUCAGUGCUGCAGCUAACGCAAUAAGUAUUCCGCCUGUGGAGUAUGCACGCAAGUGUGAAACAUAAAGGAAUUGACGGGGGCCCGCACAAGCGGUGGAGUAUGUGGUUUAAUUCGACGCAACGCGAAGAACCUUACCAGGUCUUGACAU